UGUUUUAAGAUGUCUACUUUAUUUCCUAUUUUUCAGAGGAGUUUCCAGACCAAGAGCUGACCAAGGCCCACACUGUGAAGCACCACUGCGGUCCCUCUUACUGACAAGGAUGUUGAACUUUGAUUUUGCAGUGAUUGGGAAUCAAGCUCUACACGGAUCUCCAUUGGAUCACAAAUCAAAAUCUGCAAUAUUCCUUAUUGACUGGACCUGUAGUAUCGGAUUAGAUUUGUGCCAGUAGGAUCAAGAAAAACAUUUUGAAGAUCAAACAAAAACUAAGAAAUUGAAAGAACAAAAAUAUUGACUAAAGGGGAAAAAAAAGUUUCAAAAGUAAAACUUACUAUCUGAAUCAACUUCUUAAAAUGAGUAACAAAGUAUGUUUCCUUUUUCUGUUUGCCUCUAUAUGUUUUCGUUAUCAGUUUUCUUAGUUUCGUUCUCGCUGAUUUGCACUUACACUGUCUGGCUUUCUCCUUUACAAUCCCUGAGUUUUUGGUUGCAAUUCUGACACAACCCUUUCGGGUGAGUGGGACUUCUGAGAAGUCCUCUCCCAUAGGACAGUGGUUUCUCUUGAGUGACAGUUCAGUGACCUGGAAGCGAUGUAGCCUCCAAGACUUUUUUUCCCCCACCUCGGUCAACAACAUGAAUUUUGAGCCCCAAACACGUUAUUUCUGCUGUCUGUGGUGUCUACUAAGGAUCUAAAGUGAGUAUUGAUAAUAUAUUUUAUCUUUUCUUAGUUAAUCUGUGAGUUAAGCCACUUUUUAAGUUGGUUUUAACCAGACGUUAGCUCACCAGCUAGCUGCUAAGCAAGCCAUUGUGCUAGCCUCAGGACAAUGGUCUAUUGUUCCAGAAAGACGUAUUAAAAACUCAUCUUAACAUAUUCAUUUUUAUUCCAUGUUACUUGGACGGGCUAAACAAGUUCGUAGUUCUGCCUGCUCCUUGUGAAACAUUUUUUUUCCUUUAGUCAAUGUGCUGACACUUCCUGUUGUCAGCCAGCUGGGUGAGGGCGGAGGCGGCUUCUGACGCGCUUCUAUUCAUAAAUCAAACCUCUUUUUGUCUGUGCGUUAGUCUUGUUUAUUUUCUUUUACAAGCAUUUAGCUGGCGUUUUACAUGAUGCGGUUUCAAGGAUAGUAGUGCUCCCAGUUGAUCGUCACAAAAAGGAAGUAUAUCGUGCCAUGGUGUCGCGAGCGGUAAAAACCGUUUGCUCAUCCCGCCACCCAUGCGUAAUCGGCUCUCUCGAAACACCUGAGGACCCACUUAAAUCACAUGUGACGCACCCGACACCACCGCCACCACUGAUGAAAGCCCAACCCACAAAAUAAAUGGCUCCUACAGUCAAUAUUUUUGUUCUGUCAAUUUCUUAAAUUUUGUUUGACCGUCAAAGUGUUUUUCUUGAUCAUUUUAAGAAUCUGAUUCAGAUCGUAAGUUUUUCUUUUGAAACAAUUUUUUUUCUCUCAAUGUCUUAAUAUUUGUUUGAUCUUCAAAAUGUUUUUCUUGAUCCUAUUGGCACAAAUCUAAUCCCAUACUCACCUCUGCAUGACGCUGCACAAAAAGAGGAGGACUGGAAUUUCAGGCAAGAUGAAAAAACUCAUGAAGACUUUUGAGAACAGCCAAUAGGACAAGAAUGAACAGCAAGCCCUGGCUGACCUGCUACUGCACCUGAAGGAGGAUUUGGACAUCCGUUACACUUACAAGGGGGAGUUGGAGGCAGCUGUAAAUGAAGAGCCUUCUGCUGAAGUUCCCUUUGAGAGUCUCCAUGUGUCCUCCUUUGCCCUUGAGGCUGUUCCACAGAUCCCAGCCAGAUUCACUGCUGAUUUGGUUUGGACUGAUGCAUAAUCUUCAAAAGAGCAACUCUGAAAAGCUCAUUUUAUCCAUGUCAUCGUUUAAAUCUGAAUGCUGGAAAAAAGCAACUUCAACCUAAGCUACAGGCUCUCAGAAACGAGCUGGAAUAAAACAUUUUCUUAAAUUCAUGUUCUCAGUUGUUUUACAUGCAUGCACAAAUAAUGGCAAUUUCAUUGGAAAAUAUCCUUUUUCUUUUGUAUAUGUUUUGUUAAUUAUAUGUUUAAGUUGACUGUUAAAUAACUUCUCAUAACGGGUGACUUUAAUAUUCAUGUUGAUGAUGCUAAUGACAAAUCUGCAGAACAAUUUCUUGGGGUGCUCAAAUUAUUUGAUCUUCAACAAAAUGUCCA